AGUGAACGCUGGCGGUAGGCCUAACACAUGCAAGUCGAACGGCGGCACAGUAAGAGCUUGCUCUUACGGGUGGCGAGUGGCGGACGGGUGAGGAAUACAUCGGAAUCUACUUUUUCGUGGGGGAUAACGUAGGGAAACUUACGCUAAUACCGCAUACGACCUACGGGUGAAAGCAGGGGAUCUUCGGACCUUGCGCGAUUGAAUGAGCCGAUGUCGGAUUAGCUAGUUGGCGGGGUAAAGGCCCACCAAGGCGACGAUCCGUAGCUGAUCUGAGAGGAUGAUCCGCCACACUGGAACUGAGACACGGUCCAGACUCCUACGGGAGGCAGCAGUGGGGAAUAUUGGACAAUGGGCGCAAGCCUGAUCCAGCCAUACCGCGUGGGUGAAGAAGGCCUUCGGGUUGUAAAGCCCUUUUGUUGGGAAAGAAAAGCAGCAGGUUAAUACCCCGCUGUUCUGACGGUACCCAAAGAAUAAGCACCGGCUAACUUCGUG
rnacentral:rRNA from 1 species